rnacentral:rRNA from 1 species
UACAGAGGGUGCGAGCGUUGUCCGGAAUCACUGGGCGUAAAGGGCGCGUAGGCGGCUUGAUAAGCGUGCGGUGAAAGUCCGGGGCUCAACCCCGGAUCGGCCGUGCCGACUGAGAGGCUGGAGCACUGUAGAGGCGAGUGGAAUUCCGGGUGUAGCGGUGGAAUGCGUAGAGAUCCGGAAGAACACCGGUGGCGAAGGCGGCUCGCUGGGCAGUGGCUGACGCUGAGGCGCGACAGCGUGGGGAGCAAACAGG